AGAAAACGGGCUCACUGCAGCUAACAGCCUCACCCCUUGGGCUAGGAAGCCACGGAAGCAAAACCUCCGCCCCGGCCUGAAAGCAACCGGGAGACCGCGGAACCACUGCCACCGACUCAGCCCUGCCCAGCAGGGGCCCGCCCAGGGGCCACUCCCCAAGGGAGGCAGCCAGUCACUCGCCCGCCCUUCCGGGCCCACUCCCGAGGGGACGGUCUCCCGCCCGCCCUCACACACAGCUAGCUCUUCAGGCCAGGCCCCCAGGGUUUCGUCCACCUCUCACCUUUGACGACGCGAAUGAAGAAUGAGGAGGUGCUGCGAUCGAACGACUGCGAGGAAACACACCCGCUCUCAUGGCAUUCCCAGUAAACUGAGAAGACGUGAUUAAACCUCAGGAUCUCCUACUAAUAGAGAAAUGUAUAACGAUUUAGCUACCAGAUCUGAAUACUGAAGGGUUGGUAGGGGACCAGAGAAUAGAGGAAGCAUUGUAGGUUCUAGAGUGGAGAAGGGACCAUCCAAAAUGGAGUUUGAAAGAGAAUUCUGGCCUUUGUGUUUAGAGUCUGGAAUUGUCAAGAGUCUGAAAGCACAGAAUAAGACUGCAGCUAGAGCAAUUUAGGCGCCAUAGUUUGUCAAAACAGGUAAGGGGAAUAAAGGGGAUGACACCAAGAGAUGUGCAAAGAAUCUGAAGAAUUCACCUGAAAAGGAUACAACCUCCUCCUGGAAGGCAGAGGAGUAAAUAGGGAAUUGGAAAUUAAUUCCUUAUUUCUGCACAUGCACAGAAUCUGGGCCCAGGUGACUUAUGGAACCUUUAUAGAGACCACGGUGACUGACACUCAUGGGAAAGGGGGUAGAGGGGCAAGAACUGACUGUUCAUCAAAAAUUAUUAGAUGAGUGUGUCCACGACACCAGGAGAUAUGUUGAAUCAUGGACAGG
rnacentral:lncRNA from 1 species